UGUCCUGCACCUACCGGACGUCUCGACACCAUCUCAUCCCUCGUGUGAAGGUAAUUGUCUAGUGAUGGUGUGUGGAUGUUAAAAUUAAAUGCUCUGUCAUGAUUUGAGUGACCUUAUUUCCAUCUGUAAUUGCUGACUCCAGUGUGUGGAUUGUCUGACUUGUUCCAAAUCUGCACCUUUAUUGUCUCACUCUAAGCGAAUCAAGGAUCAGAUGACAUAGUUUCUAUUGAAGCGGUGUACAAGUCAAACAGAUGUUUAUCACUCUUGUGACUGAAAUUAUAUAUUGAGUCAAUCCUUGACAAGGUAUGGACAUAUGAUUCUGAAACUCAAGGUGUUACGCAUCAAAAUUAAUUUAAAUUUAAGGCUUUCAUAAGGGUUUAGAUACUUUUUCAGAUGUCAAUGUGAAUCAGGAUAGAAAAUUAAUAGAGUAGAGUGGUUGAACUUUGUCUCACAAAAUCCAUCCUUUAUGAAGGUAAUGACUCUUCCAUAUCUUAAGUUAGCCUUGUAUAGUACCCAUACAGGAGAGCAUUUCAAGGUAAUAGCUAAUUUUGUUCUUGAUUAUAUGAACUAAAAAUUGUUUUCCUUAAACAAUGAGAACACAUAAUUUCAUUAUCGUUAAAUGGGAAGAAAACAAAAGCUCUUCACUUUACACCAUGCUUUGAUGUUUUCCUUUUCAGAUUUGUCUGGAGGCGUUGACUGGAAUGGUUAUGUAGACCUGUUUUAGGAAAAUGAAUGUGUAGGUUACAAAUGACUGUGUAGGUUACAUUGUGAAACUGACAGGUCAACCAGCUACAAGUUGAUCUCCGAUUCUAUAAAACCUGCUCCUUAUAAUUGUCUAUCAGUCAGUACCUUACAGGGCCAAAAUUCUUGAUUUUACUUUUGUCAGUUUCAAAUAUUCAUGAUAUUCAGGUCCAAACAUAAGUAACGACCUAUUUGAGAAAGUUGGUAACACAUUCAGAUCAGGAGUAGUAGAAAUUCUUGAGGGCAUUUGGAUGUUGAACUGCUGGUAAUGAAGUAUGUGUUGUUUUUUAACUCAACCCUCUUCCUGGUUUUGGAAUUGUUGACACACAAGCUUGCUCGUACGCUAAUGACAAUCUCACAAAAAAGUGUUUGAGUGCUAAACAACAAUUAUUAUAUCCACUGAUCUGCUCAGGUCCAAUUCCUUAUUUGUACAGUUUGCCAUUCUAAAGUAAUACACUUUCUCCAGCACGGUGACAUCUUUAGCUCAUGCUUAAAUCUUGCCAGAACUAAGAUGGUUUAUGAAAUGUUUGGCACAAUAACCUUUUCGAUCUUUUUAAGCUUAUUUUCAUUCGACUUAAGUUUCUCAUUUCUAGGGUAGCUCGUUACUUGUGUAUGCUACAUAUCCAUUGUUUUCAUCCCAUAUUAACUGGUUGAUAACCUGAUAAAUGAGGAAAUUCAUUCGAUUACACGUGCAUUGCGCAUGCACUGUUACUAGUUCUGAGAAAGAGAAUGAGGCAGACAAAGUCGACCGAUAGCCUAAACUAGUAGCAUUCCUAACAAAAAGCGCACGCUGCGUGAUGAUCUCAUUGAGCAUCAGCGGCGAUUGUAUGAAAGAUAUACUUUCAUUUUAUUCAUUUGAUCUUUAUUUGUAUUCAUGUGUGAUUUGAACCAUUUUAUCCAUUCCGAACCAUUUGUAUUUUUUUAAUUAUUCAGAUGUCAACAUUAGUUGUAAUUGAGAUAAUUGUCAUAUUGUAUGAUGCUCAAACCUUAAUAAGUUUGUUUUAUAUUGUUAUCAUAUUAAUAUUAUAAUGUUCAAAAAUAUGAAUUUGCCUAAAGCCUCGAAAAUGAAUUUACGGUACCGUGAGGGCUUGGGCGCAGA
rnacentral:lncRNA from 1 species